AAUGAACGUUGGCGGCAUGGAUUAGGCAUGCAAGCCGAGCGAGAAGGGUUUUGAAGCUUGCUUUGAAACCCGGAAAGCGGCGCAAGGGAGAGUAACGGGUAGUUAUCUACCCCAAGGCCCGGAAUAGCUGCGGGAAACUGCAGGUAAUGCCGGAUAAUAUCCCCGGAUCAAAGGUGUGAUUCCGCCUUGGGAGGAGACUGCUUUGUACUAGCUAGUUGGUAGGGUAAUGGCCUACCAAGGCUACGAUGCAUAGCGGGCGUGAGAGCGUGGCCCGUCUCACUGGGACUGAAACACUGCCCAGACACCUACGGGUGGCUGCAGUCGAGAAUCUUCGGCAAUGGGCGAAAGCCUGACCGAGCGAUGCCGCGUGCGGGAUGAAGGCCCUCGGGUUGUAAACCGCUGUCGUAGAGGAGAAAGGUCUGAUGAAGAAUCAGAUUUGAUCUAUUCUAGGAGGAAGUCCGGGCUAAGUUCGUGCCAGCCGCCGCCGUAA
rnacentral:rRNA from 1 species